ncrna:unclassified sequences FuFi-1 RNA
UCCGUCAGCUAAUGGCAAUUAGACUGCUGAACUUAAACUGCAUAAGUGACGGAACAUUUAAAGAAGCAUUGUGUAGUACCAAUGCGUUGAAAGACUUCAAAAUGUAUAUGGUAUAAAAAAUAUUGGAGGUCACUAUGCAAUACAAACCAAAUUACCCAAAUA